rnacentral:rRNA from 1 species
GACGAACCGAGCGAACGUUAUUCGGAAUCACUGGGCUUAAAGGGUGCGUAGGCGGGCUGUCAAGUCUGGGGUGAAAUCCGGCAGCUUAACUGUCGAACUGCCUUAGAUACUGAUGGCCUCGAGGAAGGUAGGGGCAUGCGGAACUGUAGGUGGAGCGGUGAAAUGCGUUGAUAUCUACAGGAACUCCGGUGGCGAAAGCGGCGUGCUGGACCUUUUCUGACGCUGAGGCACGAAAGCUAGGGGAGCAAACGGGG